UCAGUAGUGGAUGGUGUUGUCUGAAAAGGAACACUGGGAGCAUUAGGCAGUUUAGAGAGUUGCUCUAAAAGUAUGUUCCUUAUUCUCUCCAUGUCUUUAGGUGAGUUUAAGUUCUCCAUGUUGGAAGGUUCAAAGUGAAGUGUGUAAUCUGGGCCAAAGUACUCAUAAUAUUCAUUGUAAGGCAAUUUAUUAUCAGGUUCCACCCCAACUGCAACUGCUGUCUCAUAGCACCAGCAACGGGCAACAUUCCGAAUAGUAUAUCCGCCACCACCCAAGACCAUCAAAGGGACAUUAAAAGAUCUAAGAAAAUGAAGGCAAUCAGCAUGACCCUUCACAGACAAGUUGAAGCACCCCAACCUAUCACCAGAUAAUGAAUCUGCUCCACAUUGGAGAACAACCGCAUCAGGCUGAUAUAUCUCCAUGACUUUCUGGAUGAUGGGACGAA
rnacentral:misc_RNA from 1 species